AUUGAACGCUGGCGGCAUGCCUUACACAUGCAAGUCGAACGGUAACGGGCCUUCGGGUGCCGACGAGUGGCGAACGGGUGAGUAAUACAUCGGAACGUACCUUUCAGUGGGGGAUAACGUAGCGAAAGUUACGCUAAUACCGCAUAUUCUGUGAGCAGGAAAGCAGGGGAUCGCAAGACCUUGCGCUGAUUGAGCGGCCGAUGUCAGAUUAGCUAGUUGGUGAGGUAAAGGAUCACCAAGGCGACGAUCUGUAGCGGGUCUGAGAGGAUGAUCCGCCACACUGGAACUGAGACACGGUCCAGACUCCUACGGGAGGCAGCAGUGGGGAAUUUUGGACAAUGGGGGCAACCCUGAUCCAGCCAUGCCGCGUGAGUGAAGAAGGCCUUCGGGUUGUAAAGCUCUUUCGGCCGGGAAGAAAUCGUAUGGGCUAAUACCCUGUGCGGAUGACGGUACCGGCAUAAGAAGCACCGGCUAACUACGUGCCAGCAGCCGCCGUAAAAC
rnacentral:rRNA from 1 species